ACGUUCACAGUUCUACAGUCUGCCUGAAUGGGUACCAGGAAUAAAAGGGAGGCCAAACCCUGCCCCGACUGCCCCCAGGUCUGGGGCUGCUGUGGUUGUGGGAGCUCGGCUCCAACAUCCCGACUCCCCCUAGGAACUGGGGCUGGGCCUAUUUUCUUGCUCUGGGUUCUGUUAUUCCUCCCUAAGUGACGCAGAGUUUUUGAAGAUAAAGCUUUUCAAUGCAUGAAUAGGAUGGAUAAUGAAUGUUUCUGCCAGACAGACUGCUCGUUGCAAGAUUGAUUGACUAUUAAGGUCAUAACGCAGCAGCCACCCACAUGAAGCAAACAGGCUAAUGUUAGACUCCAGGUUAAGCCGAGAGUUGGUCAGCUGUCCACGGGCACAGUGGGGGCUUCCAGUCAUCUGUCAACAAGUGAUUGAUUGAUGUGGACACCUUCCAAUCUUAUU